GNAUUUAUUGGGCGUAAAGCGAGCGCAGGCGGUUAGAUAANUCUGAAGUUAAAGGCUGUGGCUUAACCAUAGUACGCUUUGGAAACUGUUUAACUUGAGUGCAAGAGGGGAGAGUGGANUUCCAUGUGUAGCGGUGAAAUGCGUAGAUAUAUGGAGGAACACCGGUGGCGAAGGCGGCUCUCUGGCUUGUAACUGACGCUGAGGCUCGAAAGCGUGGGGAGCAAACAGGAUUAGAUACCCNUGGUAGUCCACGCCGUAAACGAUGAGUGCUAGGUGUUAGACCCUUUCCGGGGUUUAGUGCCGCAGCUAACGCAUUAAGCACUCCGCCUGGGGAGUACGACCGCAAGGUUGAAACUCAAAGGAAUUGACGGGGGCCCGCACAAGCGGUGGAGCAUGUGGUUUAAUUCGAAGCAACGCGAAGAACCUUACCAGGUCUUGACAUCCCUCUGACCGUUCUAGAGAUAGAGCUUUCCUUCGGGACAGAGGUGACAGGUGGUGCAUGGUUGUCGUCAGCUCGUGUCGUGAGAUGUUGGGUNNNNNNNNNCAACGAGCGCAACCCCUAUUGUUAGUUGCCAUCAUUCAGUUGGGCACUCUAGCGAGACUGCCGGUAAUAAACCGGAGGAAGGUGGGGAUGACGUCAAAUCAUCAUGCCCCUUAUGACCUGGGCUACACACGUGCUACAAUGGCUGGUACAACGAGUCGCAAGCCGGUGACGGCAAGCUAAUCUCUUAAAGCCAGUCUCAGUUCGGAUUGUAGGCUGCAACUCGCCUACAUGAAGUCGGAAUCGCUAGUAAUCGCGGAUCAGCACGCCGCGGUGAAUACGUUCCCGGGCCU
rnacentral:rRNA from 1 species